rnacentral:rRNA from 1 species
UACGUAGGUGGCAAGCGUUGUCCGGAAUUAUUGGGCGUAAAGAGUGCGUAGGCGGUCUAUUAAGUCUCAUUUGAAAGCCCAUGGCUUAACCAUGGAGGGUGAUGGGAAACUGAUAGACUUGAGUACAGGAGAGGAAGGUGGAAUUCCACGUGUAGCGGUGAAAUGCGUAGAUAUGUGGAGGAACACCGGUGGCGAAGGCGGCCUUCUGGCCUGUGUCUGACGCUGAGGCACGAAAGCGUGGGUAG